rnacentral:tRNA from 1 species
UAUUUAGUGGUGUACGAGGCACGGGAAAUUUUGAUUUUCUUAGUUACAGUUUAAUUCUGUACUAGAUAA